CCUACGGGAGGCAGCAGUGAGGAAUAUUGGACAAUGGGCGCAAGCCUGAUCCAGCCAUGCCGCGUGCAGGAAGACGCAUCUAUGGUGUGUAAACUGCUUUUGUACAGGAAGAAACAUCCCGACGUGUCGGGACUUGACGGUACUGUAAGAAUAAGGAUCGGCUAACUCCGUGCCAGCAGCCGCGGUAAUACGGAGGAUCCAAGCGUUAUCCGGAAUCAUUGGGUUUAAAGGGUCCGUAGGCGGUUUGAUAAGUCAGUGGUGAAAGCCCAUCGCUCAACGAUGGAACGGCCAUUGAUACUGUCAGACUUGAAUUACUAGGAAGUAACUAGAAUAUGUAGUGUAGCGGUGAAAUGCUUAGAUAUUACAUGGAAUACCAAUUGCGAAGGCAGGUUACUACUAGUGGAUUGACGCUGAUGGACGAAAGCGUGGGGAGCGAACAGGAUUAGAUACCCUGGUAGUCCACGCCGUAAACGAUGGAUACUAGCUGUUGGGAGCAAUUUCAGUGGCUAAGCGAAAGUGAUAAGUAUCCACCUGGGGAGUACGUUCGCAGAAUGAAACUCAAAGGAAUUGACGG
rnacentral:rRNA from 1 species